UAAUGACUACCAAAACGAGCCCAUAAAUAAAUUUUUUAAGAGAAUGAAACAAAUUGUUCUAACCGAGCUUAAAGUAUGAAAUAUUGGCUUAGCAAUAAUUAGAUUCAUGACAAUUCGGAUACUGAUGAACUUUAACUAUGUUCAAAAUUUUGGGAUUCCUCAUCCUCUUCAUCUUCUGAUAUAUCCUCUUCAUCGACUGGGUAAGUGAGAAUGGCGGCAAUACCUGACAACAGAUCCAGCUGCUUCCCUGACUCAUGCAAACUACUGAAAAUAUAAACAGGACAGUUAAUCUCCUUAACACCUUCUACUAAUGAAACCCAUUUUUUUCUAGUAGCAAUGUCAGAACUCCUGAACAGAGAAUCGCUAAUCAGAAGUUCUCCGAUCGCGCCAAGUUCAAAAGCCUUCAAAACAUGAUUUGGACCAUACCAUGCCUUUCUAUCAUCUUCAUUCAUGACAUCGUAAAAUUUAUUCAGAACGCGAAUUUCUUGUACGUAUUUUGUGUCGGCUAGUUUUGAUUCAACAGCAGGGUCCUUCAAAAUUUCAUUAAGGGAAUGAAUAUGACCAGUGCUAGAAUGAAGGAUGACAAAUUUAUUCUUUGAUUUAACAAUUUGUUUCAAGUCUAACUUCACGGCCAUGCUGAAUAUGUAGUCAUACAAGCCUCGAGCCACAAAUCCUGGUGAAGCAAGAAUAACGACUUUCAAUUUAUCAAAAUCAAAUUCUGAGUUAAUGGAUUGAAAAACAGAGUCAUAAAAUUUAUCAAGGCCCUAAAAAAUUGAUCAGUACGGACGAAAAAUCAAAGUCUAAAAAUUUACCUUUUGGUAAGCGCUGCUGUCCCCUCUCCGUUUCCUUGGAAUCACUUGAUCAAUCCUUUGACGCAGGAUGGUCAUAUAAUCUGUAAUGAGACAAAUAUUGGCAAGACCUGCAAGUCAGUAAACAUGCACGAACUAAUAAAGCGAUGUAAGCCAAGAAAUUUACCUUCAUCUAAAACCACAGCACCUAUUUCAGCAUUUCUUGAAGGAUUACAAGCAGCAUCUACACGGUCCAAUGCAAAUGCAUCCCAUUCAUUUUUAUAUAGAGUAAAAUUGCGAUGUAGUUCUAAGUCCAAGGUAUGGUAGGAUCCCAUCUUAACUUCAGGAUGGUAUUCAGUUGUCCGUCCUUUGAUGUGCAAUUGAGCAGCCUUUGUAUCAAAGUCCAUAUUCUCAACUAAAAUACGUAGUUUCAUCACAACUCUUGAACCUGACGUACUUCCUGUAGCGCCAACUUUCACUACACGACUAAACAACAGAAAAAACAGGUGUUAUUAUCGAACAUUGAAGAUACACUUUAUUUCAUACCGAACUGUAGAAGCCUUCAGCUGAUCUCCAACUUGAAGAAUAUUAUACAAAUGCCUAAACUAAGUUAGUUUGUGCAUUGAUUGCAGAUAUACAGCAACCAGGCAUACCACAUAUCUUCUGGCUCUUCAGGGCACAUGGUUAUCCAUCCGGAGCCAUUUUUUUCGAUGUUUUUUUGAAUCAACUUCAUAUUGAAUGUGGUUGACGAAGAAUUUAAGUGAACAGGAAUUUUUUAGGCUAUUUUGACUGACAUAAUAUCUCGAAAU